AACGCUUAAAGGACCCAAGCAACAUUUCUAGCGAACAAGUGAACACACCAUUUUGAGAUUGCUAGUUACUUUUAUUUUUCCAAAUGUCACGAGUACUUAUAGUUGGGGCUGGACUUACUGGGAGCAUAUGCGCCUAUCUGCUACACCGGGGGCUGUUCAGUAAAGUUAGAGUAUCCGUGUGGGACAAGUCCAGAGAUUCAGGAGGAAGAAUGGCUACAAGCCAAAAUCCAAGCAAUACAUCUUGCACGGUUGACCUCGGUGCUCAGUACCUUACUGCUACACCAUAUUAUGCCAAAGUUCACAAAAGUUUUUAUGAAGAACUCCUGCUCCAUGGGAUUAUCAAACCCCUUGAAGCCACAAUAGAGGGCCUAAUCUCUAAUGAAGAGGGCAGUGUUAACUACGUAACUCCUUCCGGAGUGUCUUCCAUUGUCAAACACUACCUCAAAGAAUCAGGAGCCCACGUGCUCUUUGGCCAUCACGUCACCCACGUUUGUUGCAAGGGGUCUGGCUGGGAGGUGCACCAGAAGGGGGGCUCACCAGAGCAGUUUGACGUGGUGGUUUUAACCAUGCCUGUCCCACAGAUACUGCAAUUACAAGGAGACAUCAGCUCCUUGAUGGAGGAGGCUGAGAGGCAGAUGCUGGAGGAUGUCAGCUACUCCUCUCGCUACGCACUGGGGCUCUUCUACAAAGCUGGCGUGCGCAUCAGCGUCCCCUGGGCGGCCAAGUAUGUCUCCGAUAAUCCCUGCAUUCGCUACGUCGCUAUAGAUGAUAAGAAGCGCAAUUUAGAAGUGUCAGAAGAAUGUGGCCCCUCUUUGGUGGUCCACACCACUGUGCCUUUUGGCGUUCAGCACAUAGAGGAGACGGCCGAGGAUGUGAAGUCCAUAAUCCUGCAGGAGCUGAAGAACGUGAUGCCUGACCUCCCUGAACCUGAAAGCACCAGCUGCCAGAAAUGGAGGUACUCCCAGGUGACGAGGUCGGUGCCCGAGCGCCCAGGGCAGGUGACGCUGAGCUCCAGGCCUCUGCUGGUGUGCGGAGGAGAUGGCUUCACGCGCUCCGACUUCGAUGGCUGCGUUGGGUCCGCCCUGAAAGUCUUCGACGUACUGAAGUCCUCCCUCUGAAGUCAGGAAGUGUGUUUGGGGGGGGGUUGUUGAAGCAUGGUAUCCUCAGCAGUCAAUACUCGAACACCCUGUUCUGGCGUGGGAGGGGUGAUCUUAGCCACAUGGCUGCAACAUCCCGUCUGCCUCGAGCGCCUCGGCUGCGUAGCUGAACCCUGCACCCACAUCGAUCACUCUGCCUCGUCAAUACUUUAUCAAAGUUCACCAAACCAAAUGAAAACAAGGUCUGUUAAACUCCAUGUCAAAGCCUCGCCCGCUGUCGACGGCAGGACAGUUAACCCUCGAAGUACUCAGUCAACACCAAGACCUCAUGACUUCGGCGUGGCAUCCAAAUGGGAUGGUCCAUGCCUUACAUUAAUCGGUCACAGCUUGAGGAGUCAACGUGGAGAUGUAAAAAGUGGGUUCUGGGCAGCAUUUGCCUUGUUCUGUAAGGCCAUAUUUCUCUUCCUGUAAUUCCAAAAUGGAAAACAGAAGUUGUGGUGAAGCUGGAGGUGGCAGAGAGGUGGUGCAAUUCAAAACGCUCCUCUCAAAGCACAACGGGGGCCUGCAGGAUGUGUGCCGGUCAGGAGGAGCGAGCUCCAGGUGCAGCCCUUCUCACAAACUCAAGUUCUUGUAUAAAUCUGUGUUUUGCAAUGUCUACCAGCUGACUGAGCUCUUUCCUUUAAGAAAUUCAAAUAGCUGGCUGCUCGUUGACAGACUUUUUACCGAGCCUCCAUUUUGGCGCACGCCUUCUGACUUUAAAGGCGGAUUCCAGGAAAAAGAGCUGGAACCAAGAAUCAUAGCUGUGUGCUGGAGUAAUACAACUGGAAGCUUCUAACCAAGUACUACCAGUGUUCAGCCAAUUGUUUCAACACUUGCACUCAUAAAUAGUGGUUGGGACUCAAAACGUGUUACAAUUAUAAAACAACAAAACACAUCGGCUCACGUGUGCCCAUAAAACUUGACAUCAUUUGCAACCUGGCCUCCUAUUUCAAAUAUUAUAAAUAUUUUGACCUUCAGCAGUUCCUAGAGGGACCCAAAUAUUAAUUUCAGCAACAAAUACCUAAGCAAUUAAGAAAAAAUAUUUAAGUUACAUGGUGCUUUAGACUGGAAUUUGUCGCAGAUUUGUCAUGAGUUCAAGACAAAACGGAGGUCAUGUGAAUAUCUUCUCAAAAUAUAUAGUCCCUGCUUUCUGUGGUGACACUCUUCUAGGUUGUUCCAUAGGAGUGAAAAAGGAAGCCAUACUCGGUGUACGCAGACUGUCCUCGGCUGCGGAAUCUUGAUUUGCCUGUUAUUUCCUUCCUUGCACCACAACCAAAACCACUGUUCUUUUCAUUCAGUUGGAGCAACCCAAUGGUUGUGUCAGGUACUGAGUCUUCAGGAAGGCCUCAGGCUUGGUCUUUCCUUUUUUCUGCAUUGAGUCUUGCUCCUUAGCCUUGAGGUAUCAUGGGGGAAAGAGAGAUCGGUUCUGUCUCCUCAGAGGGACCUACGAGGAGAGACUGGGUAAGACGUGCCCUGGCCUACAGCCACACUCCCAUGGAGAUAUAACGCAAAAAAACCUCAGCCCAACUACAGAAUCAAGGAGGUUACAAAUAUGCUUAAAGAUGACUGGAAAGCAGUGGAAUAGCUGAAGUAAAUGCUCUUAAAUCACCUGUUAAUUGGUUUAAGAGCAGACGUGCAAGUAACAUGACUUUGUAAGCAUUUACCAAGUAAAUCACACCCUCAACAUUGUCGCAUUCCAGUCUUAAAACGCGCGGUGAGCUUGCAUCCGGCUUCUAUGGAAUCCAGUUGGGUUUGUAACUCUCGUCACUGGAUUCGGAGGAGUCUGAAAGUCAACCAUGAGCUUUCUGUAGCUUCCUGUUAACUUCCCAGCAGCUCUACGGCACUUUACUGAAGCCAUCGUUCUGCACACGCAUGCUCCCCACGCAAACGCAGCCCCGUCGGCACCAGCAGGUAUAUACGGACGGCGGGGCAGGAGGGUAAAUCACAGGCCAUGAACAUAUCUGCACAUAUACUCUUAAAACCUUCGUGUUAAAGUUAAACCACCUCUCAAGGGGUUUUUUUUUUUUGAUAGGAGAGGAAAAAGUUGAAUCCAGAGAACUGCUUAUUUAUCAGUGGCCAUAAAUAUUUCUCGAUUCUGUCCGAAUAAUGUAAAUUGUGCACAAGAGGGUUUUUCAGAAAAGUCAACAGAAAAAGCAAACUUAGGCUCUGGCGCAAAUGGCAGAAUUUGGCAUGAAAUAAUAUAAAAUGACAAAUCAUUGUGUGAAACAAGGUACAGUUGCCGGCAAUUUGUGUUACGGUGAUCAUUGAUUUAACUGGCAAACAAUCCGGAGACAAACUAGAAAACUCCACACACACACAAAAAAGUCAUCAUCUAUAUAAAAUGACCAGGAAGUUAUUAUCCAAAUAUAGACUUACUGAAUAAAUAACUACAACAUGACAAGAAUGAGACUUUAUUGGUUUUGUGGAGUUUAUAACACUAAGAUAAAGGGCAGUUUACACAUACAAUUACAAACAAACAUGUGAUUUGUAUGAGCAUCAUAAUCUGUACAUAACCUGUACAAUAUUCCAUACAUUGUUGGUUCUGUAUUCUCAGUGCAUAGCAUUACACACAGAGCAACUGUUGCACAUCACAAAAUUAUCUAAACAGGCUGAAAUUGAAUAAGGCCGUUUUAUUUAUUUAUUUUUUUCCUGCAAAUGAUGGAAAAAAAGAGUUUACAUGAUGUCUGAGUCCAAAGGAGAAGUGGAGGGGAAGAUGAAAGCGCUAUGGGGCCAGAACCCCAACAAACCCUCUGCAGUGGGGAAAAGCCCAGACGAUUUAGUGCACAGUACCACCCCGCCCGUCCAUAUGCAUGACAUGAUGCGCGAAAAUAGCUUUUGAAACAAGCACUUUUUUUUCGGUCCAGUAAACAAGAGGCACUUUGUGGCAACCACAGGCAUCACAGCAUAUUGCACAAAUCAGCUAAAAAAACUAAGUGACAUGAAACUUACACACUGGCACCUUAAGAUUUUUAUUUUAAAUUUUUUAAUUAAAGCUGAAACUCAAAUGUAUGAUGUUGCCUGUGAGCUCCACACAAGUUUUUAACCCGUGCUACAUGAAGCAGACGGGCUCGGCGCCUGUCCUCAUGAACCACCUCCCUGCCAAGCCUCCCAUUUGGUCCAUUCCAGCUCACCAACACACACCAGAGCCUGCGGUGAGCACAAGGGCCGUGGUCCUUGCUUACCUGGGUGAGGUGUGUUGUGAGUUUGAACAGAUCUAAACAACUUGGGGGGGGGGGGGGGGUGCUCCCCGAGGACUGUACUGCACUGGGUGGGGGCCUCCCCGAGGACCGAACUUAGAACCUUGGACAUUAACAGAUGCCUAAGGUCUCAGGUGACAUCCUCCCUUCAUGAUCGCAUUUUGUGUGUUAAGGUACUAUGGCUAAAUUGUCACGGGUGGGGCUAUGGAUGUCCUAGGGAUGGCCUGUGACCUGAUGCAAGCUCAUCAACAGUGAUGCCCUUAAACAGACUUAUACAAUAAACUGUUGAACAUCCAGACAUAGUACAAGAUGUAGGCAGGUAGGGGCCAGAGUCAGAAACCUGCAGAGGGUUUUUAACUAGAAUGUGCAUGAAUAUUGUCAAACAUUUCCUCUCUUCCUUUUAUUCCUACUUUGAGGAAAGUAAUACACGAUUCCAUGGGCAAUACACAAAUCAGUAUUGAGCAUAGUGACUCGCUUCAUACCACCUUUAUCCUCCUAGAGAUUUAAUUGCUUGCAUGGCUUUUACCAAGGGGAAUAACCAAAAGGAGGUGAAAAUACUGUGAACUGCUGACUGAAACCCUGCAAAAACCUGUAACAGUGCAAAAGUCUAGUACAAUAUGUUGCUCUAUUAUAGUAGCUUUAAAUAAGUACUGUUAAAAGUCAGUGCUUGGGCAGAAUGGUAGAGUACAAAGCAAGAGCAGAGUAAGCAUUGUCAGCUUCAAGUAAGGCAAAGAAUACCUCCCCUCGACCCCGCCUCUUCACACAGAAUACCUCCCCUAGACCCCGCCUCUUCACACAUACCUUCCCCUAGACCCCGCCUCCUCACACAUACCUUCCCCUAGACCCCGCCUCCUCACACAUACCUUCCAUGUACCCUGGCACUUCUCAAAGAUUACCAUCCUUAGACCCCACCUCCUCAUUUAAAAAAAAAACAAACAAACCAAACAAAAAACACCAGCAAACAAAAAAAAAAACCCCAAACAAACAAACAAAAACCUCAAGCUUAAUUUUGGCAGGUUUUCAGUGAUGUGUCAAAAUGUAAACGAAACCCUUGUUUUAAAGGUUCUUUUUCCCCCCCUUCUUUCCUGGGUUGGCUACUGUAGGACAGUGUUACAGAAGGCAGUCUUCUCUUCAAAAUCUCAGGAACAUAUUCUUUCUAAAAGGAAGCCAAGAUGUAGGACAUGUGCAGUGGGUCGACGAGAAGAAUGAAGCCUCCAUCAUCAACAGCAGAAGAAAGGCAGCUUACUCACUACCCUCAGAAGAUUCUUGCCCAAGAGACUUAGGAGUUUUUUUGUAUUUGUUGUUUUUGGUCUGGCUCAAGAUUCAACAUGAGCCAGGUGUUGAAAUUUGGCAUGCUGAAAGAAAAUUAUACAUUUAAAUACUCAUAUAUAGGGCUUUAAUAUGUCUGAAGCAAGCACAAGACGUUCUGUAAAAUCUGUAGCUGCACUAUUCUCAUUCCAAAAGGAAUGAAACCUGUUCAAGGAAAAAAAAAAAAAAAAAAGGGGUGGUGUCUUAAAAUGUAAAGAAUCCCAGCCAAAACCUAACCCACACCAAAAGUACAGGAGUCUAGGAAUCCCAGCCAAAACCGAACCCACACCAAAACACAGGAGUCUAGGAAUCCCAGCCAAAAACCUAACCCACACCAAAAGUACAGGAGUCUCAGAGUUCACGUGUGCAUGCCACUAACAAUUAUAAUGCAUACAGAAGGAUCACGC